AAGUCGUAACAAGGUUUCCGUAGGUGAACCUGCGGAAGGAUCAUUACAUUCAGUAGCUUGCUACUGUUAGGGGGGUCUGUCAGUCUGUAUAGUAUCACUACUGAUGAGCAGCGCGACCCUCUGUCUGUACCCUUGUCUUUUGCGUACUCAUGUUUCCUCGGCGGGUUUACACCCGCCGGCUGGACAACUCUAUAACCUUUUUAAUUUUCAAUCAGCGUCUGAAAAACCUAAUAAUUACAACUUUCAACAACGGAUCUCUUGGUUCUG
rnacentral:misc_RNA from 1 species